rnacentral:rRNA from 1 species
AUUGAACGCUGGCGGCAGGCCUAACACAUGCAAGUCGAACGAGUGGCGGACGGGUGAGUAAUGUCUGGGAAACUGCCCGAUGGAGGGGGAUAACUACUGGAAACGGUAGCUAAUACCGCAUACCAUCGGAUGUGCCCAGAGGGGAUUAGCUUGUAGGUGAGGUAACGGCUCACCUAGGCGAAGAUCCCUAGCUGGUCUGAGAGGAUGACCAGCCACACUGGAACUUGUACACGGUGCAGCCGCCUACGUGAGGCAGCAGUGGGGAAUAUGGCACCAUGGGCGCGAGCCUGAUACAGCCAUGCCGCGGGUAUGAGGAAGGCCUUCGGGUUGUAAAGUACUUGCAGCGGGGAGGCGUUACCCGCAGAAGAAUCACCGGCUAACUCCGGGCCAGCAGCCGCGGUAAUUC